UUUUUAGCAGUUCACUUGGUCGGUCGGUCGGCUGGUUUAGUUUGCCGCAAAUAUUGUUUGGAAUAAGUUGUGUUCGUUUUCGUGCGUUCGAUGUCGCAGCGGUCGACCAAAGCGAUUCGCGUAAAGUGCGAAAACAGUUUUAACACUUAAAGAAAGCAAAACAAAAAAAGUAAAUACAAAUCGUGUAGAAAUCUAAAUUGAAAUUUCGUACAAAGUUCGUUUUUGUUGGUGAACAUAAGAAUUUGUUGUUGAUAUUUGUGUGUCAAAUUGUGCAAUUUGUUAAUAUUUCAGACCAAAGAGCGCAACAGGAAUUAUUCCGAAAAUUAUCAAAAAUAGCAUAAAACCGCACUAGUUGCAAGAAAAAAGUAAAAAUACGAAAUUACAUAUGUUUACGAACACAUACACGCUCAUAACUACAUGAGUGUCAGAAUAGCCAACCAGGCAAUGCAAAAGUGAAAAUCAAA